GACGAACGCUGGCGGCGUGCCUAAUACAUGCAAGUUGAGCGAUGAAGAUUGGUGCUUGCACCAAUUUGAAGAGCAGCGCACGGGUGAGUAACGCGUGGGGAAUCUGCCUUUGAGCGGGGGACAACAUUUGGAAACGAAUGCUAAUACCGCAUAAUAACUUUAAACAUAAGUUUUAAGUUUGAAAGAUGCAAUUGCAUCACUCAAAGAUGAUCCCGCGUUGUAUUAGCUAGUUGGUGAGGUAAAGGCUCACCAAGGCGAUGAUACAUAGCCGACCUGAGAGGGUGAUCGGCCACAUUGGUACUGAGACACGGCCCAAACUCCUACGGGAGGCAGCAGUAGGGAAUCUUCGGCAAUAGACGAAAGUCUGACCGAGCAACGCCGCGUGAGUGAAGAAGGUUGUCGGAUCGUAAAACUCUGUUGGUAGAGAAGAACGUUGGUGAGAGUGGAAAGCUCAUCAAGUGACGGUAACUACCCAGAAAGGGACGGCUAACUACGUG
rnacentral:rRNA from 1 species